AUCUUCCACAUCGGCUUCAUCACCAGCUCCAGCUGAGUCACCGCUUUCACUUCUGACAAGGUGACGAGGUGUAUUUUUCAAGAAUUGAUCUUUACGCCCGCCAUCGUCUUCUCAGACAUAAGGCGUCUUGCCGUUCAAUACAACAGUGAAGUAGCUCCAGAAGGUGAGAGGGCGUGUAAGUCGUCACAGGAACGAAUGUCAAGAAGAGAGGGACAAUCAAAUAGAUGCUCCCCAGUCAUAGACGAAAUGUUACAGAGCACACAAAGAGGAGUGGCAACAAAUUUUCUGGGAUUACUGACUGAGAACAAUGGAAGUUUUAGAAAAGUACAGAGAAGUAUAAAUUUGCGAUAUUGCACAAUUGUUUGCACAAUUUUUUCAUAUUGUAAACAACCUCUUAUUAACAGGAUUUUUUGAAAUUCGGUGACAAUGUCUUAUUUUUGUGUAAAGGCAAACUUAUUUCUUUGUCUGUAAUAAAAGUAAGAAUUUUUUUAAAAAAAAUGACAUUCCAAUACCUUUAUAAAGUCUGAUUGUUAAUCUUUAUAUAAUUAUUGUAGCUGAUAAAUAUAGUUUGGAAAAUAAAAUAAAUUGCAGAUUUUGCUUCA